UGCAUGCCUGCAGGUCGACUCUAGAGGAUCCCACAUGCGUGGUAGAGGAGCGUUCUGUAGGCCGUUGAAGGGAAAGCUGAGAGGCAUCCUGGAGGUAUCAGAAGUGCGAAUGCUGACAUGAGUAACGAUAAGGGGAGUGAAAAGCUCCCCCGCCGGAAGACCAAGGUUUCCUAUCCAAUGCUAAUCAGGGUAGGGUGAGUCGGCACCUAAGGCGAGGCUGAAGAGCGUAGUCGAUGGAAAGCAGGUUAAUAUUCCUGCACCACUCAAUAUUGCGAAGGAGGGACGGAGAAGGCUAGUCCAGCGCGGCGUUGGUUGUCCGCGUUUAAGCGUGUAGGCUUGAAUCUUAGGAAAAUCCGGGAUUCUUUAAGGCUGAGGCGUGAUGACGAGGUCCAUUAGGACUGAAGUGGUUGAUGCCAUGCUUCCAGGAAAAGCUUCUAAGCUAUAGAUAUUGAGUGACCGUACCCCAAACCGACACAGGUGGUCAGGUAGAGAAUACCAAGGCGCUUGAGAGAACUCGGGUGAAGGAACUAGGCAAAAUGGUACCGUAACUUCGGGAGAAGGUACGCCGCUGAUGGUGAUGGGACUUGCUCCCUAAGCUGUUGGCGGCCGAAGAUACCAGGUGGCUGCGACUGUUUAUUAAAAACACAGCACUGUGCAAACACGAAAGUGGACGUAUACGGUGUGACGCCUGCCCGGUGCCGGAAGGUUAAUUGAUGGGGUUAGCUUCGGCGAAGCUCUUGAUCGAAGCCCCGGUAAACGGCGGCCGUAACUAUAACGGUCCUAAGGUAGCGAAAUUCCUUGUCGGGUAAGUUCCGACCUGCACGAAUGGCGUAACGACGGCCACACUGUCUCCACCCGAGACUCAGUGAAAUUGAAAUCGCUGUUAAGAUGCAGUGUAUCCGCGGCUAGACGGAAAGACCCCGUGAACCUUUACUAUAGCUUCACAGUGAACUUUGAACCUAUUUGUGUAGGAUAGGUGGGAGGCUUUGAAACGGUGACGCUAGUCACAGUGGAGCCAAACUUGAAAUACCACCCUGGUAUGUUUGAGGUUCUAACUCAGGUCCGUAAUCCGGAUCGAGGACACUGUGUGGUGGGUAGUUUGACUGGGGCGGUCUCCUCCCAAAGAGUAACGGAGGAGCACGAAGGUAUGCUAAUCAUGGUCGGAAAUCAUGAGGUUAGUGCAAUGGCAUAAGCAUGCUUAACUGCGAGACAGACACGUCGAGCAGAUACGAAAGUAGGUCAUAGUGAUCCGGUGGUUCUGAAUGGAAGGGCCAUCGCUCAACGGAUAAAAGGUACUCCGGGGAUAACAGGCUGAUACCGCCCAAGAGUUCACAUCGACGGCGGUGUUUGGCACCUCGAUGUCGGCUCAUCACAUCCUGGGGCUGAAGCCGGUCCCAAGGGUAUGGCUGUUCGCCAUUUAAAGUGGUACGCGAGCUGGGUUAGAA
rnacentral:rRNA from 1 species